rnacentral:lncRNA from 1 species
AGGGAGCCAAACCUGGAGCAAUUGAGGCCAGCACCAGUGUAAGCAGAGCGUUGGAGAGGCAAGGAAGGCAGACAGGGUUUCUCUGGGCUGGAGAGGUGGCUCAGAGGUUAAGAGCACUGACUGCUCUUCCAGAGGUCCUGAGUUCAAUUCCCAGCAACCACAUAGUGGCUCACAACCAUCCGUUAUGAGAUCCGGUGCCCUCUUCUGGUGUGCAGAUAUACAUGGAAGCAGAAUGUUGUAUACAUAAUAAAUAAAUAAAAUCUUAAAAAAAAAAAAAAAAAGACAGGGUUUCUCUGUAGCUUUGGAGCCUGUCGUGGAACUUGCUCUAUAAGCCAGGUUAGCCUCAGACUCACAGAUAUCUGCCUGCCUUUGGCUCCCGAGUGCUGGGAUUAAAGGUGUGUGCCAUCACCGCCUGGCCCUCCUGGUUUUUAAAUUAAAUUAAUUAUUACUGUGUGUGUGUAUGGAUGGUAUACUUCAUGGAGGGUAUGUGGAGGUCAGAGGACAACACUGUGGA